rnacentral:rRNA from 1 species
GACGUAGGGGGCGAGCGUUGUCCGGAAUUACUGGGCGUAAAGGGCGCGUAGGCGGUCAAUCAAGUCAGGUGUAAAAGACCCGGGCUCAACCCGGGGGUAGCAUCUGAAACUGAUUGGCUAGAGGGCAGGAGAGGGGAGUGGAAUUCCCGGUGUAGCGGUGAAAUGCGUAGAUAUCGGGAGGAAUACCAGUGGCGAAGGCGACUCUCUGGACUGGCCCUGACGCUGAGGCGCGAAAGCGUGGGGAGCGAACAGG